CGAGCGAGGCGAUUGCGACACGCCACGGGGCUUGGAGUCCCCGCGGGCGGUGCAAACUCAGAAGCGAGGCACAGCCGGGGAUCCCCGAGCCUGGCGUUCUGCCCGCCGGCAGCCCCCUGAACGCUGGGACGCCGUGCUCAGCCUGAGCGAGCCUGCCGCCCUCUGAGGAGACUGAACUGCCAGCCUCCUCACGUUGUGUCUUUUUAAACUAUUGUUAUUAUUUUUAGAUCUCUACUUCCCUUUAAACUGGCUCUGAUCGACCCAAACUGUUGCUCUGGGACUGCACACGUGGUAACCACCAAACUGCACCACUUCACAAUAGACUUUGCCAUGCUAAAUAUAGAGCAAGCAUUUGGUUUG